UAUAACUGGUCGAGCCGGCCGGAGCCGGCAAUCUUCCUCUUUUCUUUUCUUCCUUUUGAUUUGAAUCAUCACAUUUAUAUUUUAUUUAUGGAGGAUCGCAAUCCUAACAAAAACAACUGGGAACUGAUUUUUGUUCAAAAGGACGAGAUUGCACGGCGGCCCAUGUCUUAAAAGGAAAACAAUUCGGAGAUAUUUUCGCACGCAGACGAGACUGCGCCAGCCUUUUAUAGAAAACAUGUCUGGCCAUAAGAAAUACGGAUACCAUGUUCACUUGAUCUGUGUAAGAUUUGUUUAUCUCUAUUCUUGAGGAGAAGAAGGAUCAGUUGUGCGCCUCUUUUGUCAGGGUUGUGAUUCUCCAUACGUAAAAUGGAAAUGGUAACUGUCGGCAAGAGGGAUCUUGCGUCUCUUGACUUGUCCCCGUUGAUUAUGAAUCGGAUCCGAUUGUUUGUGAUUCCAAAUCUGGUUGUCGUGGGUUAGCAGGGUGAAGAAAUGCAAAUCUCGAAUUUUAGUUUGAUGAUUUUUAUCUAGCUCCCGUUGCAGAAUCCAUCAUGUCUAGUUGUUGUCAAAUCAAUAAAUCAUAGGAUGUCAUAGCUGGGUACCAUCUGACUGUCAAUGCGAAACUAGAGAAAGCUGAAGAACUUACUGGCUUGGCUUCAUCAUUUUGUUUUCUAGGGUAACGAUUCAAUCUGCAUGUUUCUUCAUAAUCUUUAGUUCCACGACGGAGCAAAGGACAUAGCGGAUGUCAUUGACUUUUGGAUUGUGAUUCAUUUCAGGCUCAUACAACAGCAAGCUGAUUACUAUUAGGUUGCCCCAUUGCUGAUUAAGUCAAGGAUGCUACAGACAAAAGGGAAUGAGGGAUCAAUCAAUUGAAUCUCAUGAAGUUUUUUUUAUUGCUCAUAUAUGUCCUUUUAUUAGAAACAAUCAUAUUUGAAAUACAGUUAAGUAUUAAAUGUGGGCUAAACAGUCAAAAGACAUGUAAGAGCAAUAGCCUGUGGGUUCUCAUCUAUGUCAUGUGGAAAUGAUAAUCGGAGGAGUCUGAGCUCGAGAAUGAAGAUGUAUGAUGUUGAUGUUUAAUAUUCUUCACUGUGCACUCCCCCCCCCCCACCUCCUUCUAUUUUCUUUAGUUUCUACCAAAUACACUCAGAAGUAUGCUCAUCAUGAAAGAUUGAGGCCUAAAAAAUGAUUCCUCUUGAAAUAGUGUCCAGGACCGUCUGCAGAGAGAGGAUGUUAUGCCCUUUAAGAUUCAUCUUGAAAUAGUAUGCCCUUUGGGAUGUCCACAGAGAGAGAGAGAGAGAGAGAGAGAGAGAGAGGAUGUUAUGCAUCUAUUGAUAAACUAUCUGCAGGUGGAAGAGAGGUGGCGAGUCUAGUCAUAUCAGAGUCCUGGAACAAAUUCAAAAGUUUGAAUGGUGAGAAAUGGCUCAUGUGGAACUUGAAUCAUGAAGCAGGCAAGGAGUUCACCAAACAAGUACCCUAUGAUAUCCUGUUUGAUUAUGUUUGUUGGGAUACGCGGUGGUGCUACAGGUGUAGGAAGCUCUUCUCUGAUGAGUGAUGACAAUGGCGAGGACAUCAGGUCAGGUGUGGCAACUCUACACAGGGUACAGGCUGAUAUUAACAUUCUUAAUUCCUCAAUAUCUCUAUUUAAUAACCCACAGAAAAAUCAAUAUUUUUGGUUUCAACCUAUGGAUAAUGAGUAUCGCAUAGAUAUUGAUGGAUCCUAUAAGGAUGAUAUUUUCAGGUAUGGAAGUGUGAUUAGAGAUUGUCGAGCUAAUUGGAUUAGGGGCUAUUACUGAAGUUAUUGGCAUUAUAUAGGGUUUUGACCUUUGUUGCAAUUUAGGAGUUCAAAGAGUAAUAUUUUCAUAAAUUGUGUCGAGGCCAUCAACCUAAACACGAGAGCUGAUGUGAGCCAACACCCUUUCAGGGACCAUUGAGCAUGCCGAGAAUUGCCUAAAUACUUCUAAUUCUAUUUAUUUGAAUUUUAUGCAUAGAGAGGCCAAUUCUUGUGCUCAUAAUCUUGCUAAGCAUACUUUAAAUGGUAUGGGAAGUUUUUGUAUUUUUGAUCAACCUCCAUUUUUUUUUAUAGAGAGGUGAUGGACCCAGAAGAAUCAGAUUAUGUAUGUAAAUUAGCUGUUUUGUUGCCUUGCA